AUUGAACGCUGGCGGCAUAGCCUUACACAUGCAAGUCGAACGGCAGCACGGGAGCAAUCCUGGUGGCGAGUGGCGAACGGGUGAGUAAUAUAUCGGAACGUGCCCGGUCGUGGGGGAUAACGUAGCGAAAGCUACGCUAAUACCGCAUACGAUCUACGGGAUGAAAGCGGGGGGAUCGCAAGACCUCGCGCGAUUGGAGCGGCCGAUAUCAGAUUAGGUAGUUGGUGAGGUAAAGGGCUCACCAAGCCGACGAUCUGUAGCUGGUCUGAGAGGACGACCAGCCACACUGGGACUGAGACACGGCCCAGACUCCACGGGAGGCAGCAGUGGGGAAUUUUGGACAAUGGGGCGCAAGCCUGAUCCAGCAAUGCCGCGUGAGUGAUGAAGGCC
rnacentral:rRNA from 1 species